rnacentral:rRNA from 1 species
UACGGAGGGUGCAAGCAUUAAUCGGAUUUAUUGGGCGUAAAGGGCGCGUAGGCGGGGAUAUUAGGCAGAUGUGAAAGCCCGGGGCUCAACUCCGGAAUUGCCUUUAAGACUGCAUCGCUAGAAUUGUGGAGAGGUAAGUGGAAUUCCGAGUGUAGAGGUGAAAUUCGUAGAUAUUCGGAAGAACACCAGUGGCGAAGGCGACUUACUGGACACAUAUUGACGCUGAGGUGCGAAAGCGUGGGGAGCAAACAGG